CCCUUAGAUGUUCUGGGCUGCACGCGCGCUACACUGAAGCGUUCAACGAGUAUUCACCUUGCCCGGGAGGGUUGGGUAAUCUUUUGAAAACGCUUCGUGAUGGGGAUAGAUUAUUGCAAUUAUUAAUCUUCAACGAGGAAUUCCUAGUAAGCGCGAGUCAUCAGCUCGUGCUGAUUACGUCCCUGCCCUUUGUACACACCGCCCGUCGCUCCUACCGAUUGAGUGGUCCGGUGAAGCCUCCGGAUUGGCGCGCACCUCGGUGCCGCCGAGAAGUUGGCUAAACCUUACCAUUUAGAGGAAGGUGAAGUCGUAACA
rnacentral:rRNA from 1 species